UGAGGAAUAUUGGUCAAUGGGCGAGAGCCUGAACCAGCCAAGUCGCGUGAAGGAAGACAGUCCUAAGGAUUGUAAACUUCUUUUAUACGGGAAUAACGGGCGAUACGAGUAUUGCAUUGAAUGUACCGUAAGAAUAAGCAUCGGCUAACUCCGUGCCAGCAGCCGCGGUAAUACGGAGGAUGCGAGCGUUAUCCGGAUUUAUUGGGUUUAAAGGGUGCGUAGGUUGUUCGGUAAGUCAGCGGUGAAACCUGAGCGCUCAACGUUCAGCCUGCCGUUGAACCUGCCGGGCUUGAGUUCAGUGGCGGCAGGCGGAAUUCGUGGUGUAGCGGUGAAAUGCAUAGAUAUCACGAGGAACUCCGAUUGCGAAGGCAGCUUGCCAUACUGCGACUGACACUGAAGCACGAAGGCGUGGGUAUCAAACAGG
rnacentral:rRNA from 1 species